GAGUGGCGCACGGGUGAGUAACGCGUGGGAACCUGCCCCGAGGUGGGGGAUAACCGAUGGAAACGUCGGCUAAUACCGCAUGAGACGGUGAAAGAUUUAUCGCCUUGGGAGGGGCCCGCGUCGGAUUAGCUAGUUGGUGGGGUAACAGCCUACCAAGGCGAUGAUCCGUAGCUGGUCUGAGAGGAUGAUCAGCCACACUGGGACUGAGACACGGCCCAGACUCCUACGGGAGGCAGCAGUGGGGAAUAUUGGACAAUGGGGGCAACCCUGAUCCAGCAAUGCCGCGUGAGUGAUGAAGGCCUUAGGGUUGUAAAGCUCUUUCGGCGGGGACGAUGAUGACGGUACCCGCAGAAGAAGCCCCGGCUAACUUCGUGCCAGCAGCCGCGGUAAUACGAAGGGGGCAAGCGUUGUUCGGAAUUACUGGGCGUAAAGGGCGCGCAGGCGGCUCGUUAAGUCAGAUGUGAAAGCCCCGGGCUCAACCUGGGAAUAGCAUUUGGGACUGAUGGGCUAGAGAUCGGGAGAGGAGAGUGGAAUUCCCAGUGUAGAGGUGAAAUUCGUAGAUAUUGGGAAGAACACCGGUGGCGAAGGCGGCUCUCUGGACCGAUAC
rnacentral:rRNA from 1 species